GUGCCCAGAGAGAGCCUCUCCAAAGGGGUGGCUUGAGCUACAUGAAAGGGCAGAAAGAUGGCAAAAUGUAACAAAGGACAAGGGCAGGACACAUCACAGGAAGGACACUGAUGAGGCCCCAGAUGACCAAGACCAAGAAGGCAAGGAAUGGUUCACUGAGAGCUCAGAGGUUCACACUGAGGCUGCUGAACUUGAUCUUUAGCCUCAGAAGUCAUUAGAGCAGUGCUUCUCUCAGAAUCAUCGGAAUUGCUUGUUGAAAUGCAAGUUCCCAGGCCGGAUACCAGGCCUGCAUCAGUAUGAAUGGACCAGAAUGGAUGGGAACCUAACGAGAACCCCAGAAAACUUGAUGCAGUAAAGUUGGAGAACUAUCAUCUAAAGCCUUUAAAAGAGUCGACUAGUAGCAUUACCAAAUUUGAUUUUAUGAAUGUUCAUCCACCAGCAACGUUGGCUAAAAAGAAGCGAGAUCAGAGUCAUGAAUGGGAAUUGGGAGGAGACGGAAGGCAAGCAGCUGAGGGAAGAUGAAGGGAUUCAAUGGACGGUUUGUGGCAGGCCCUGGAAAUACAAGGAGGAAUAUCGAACAGCCCUUUGAGGAGCUUUCAGUCUGACACAGAGCAGCAGCCUCCAGCCAGAGGUGACUUACUCCUCAUCCUCAAGGGACACUUGGCAACGUCUGGAGGCAUCACUGAGAGUCGCAACCGGGAGAGGGUGCUAAUGGCAUCUUAGUGGGUAGAAGCUCAGGAUGCUGCUUAAACAACCACAUCGUACGACACAGCCCCCAGAAUAAAGAAUUGCCCAGCCCCGAAUGUCAA